rnacentral:tRNA from 1 species
GAAGAGGUGGCCGAGUGGUCCAAGGCGCCGCAAGCAGCUGCCCCAGUAUUGAUUCCUCUUGGAUUCAAAAUUAUGCGGUCUGUUCUAAGAACAGUCGUGGGUUCAAAUCCCACCCUCUUCU